rnacentral:rRNA from 1 species
CUACGUGCCAGCAGCCGCGGUAAUACGUAGGUGGCAAGCGUUGUCCGGAUUUAUUGGGCGUAAAGCGAGCGCAGGCGGAAGAAUAAGUCUGAUGUGAAAGCCCUCGGCUUAACCGAGGAACUGCAUCGGAAACUGUUUUUCUUGAGUGCAGAAGAGGAGAGUGGAACUCCAUGUGUAGCGGUGGAAUGCGUAGAUAUAUGGAAGAACACCAGUGGCGAAGGCGGCUCUCUGGUCUGCAACUGACGCUGAGGCUCGAAAGCAUGGGUAGUGAACAGGAUUAGAUACCCUGGUAGUCCAUGCCGUAAACGAUGAGUGCUAAGUGUUGGGAGGUUUCCGCCUCUCAGUGCUGCAGCUAACGCAUUAAGCACUCCGCCUGGGGAGUACGACCGCAAGGUUGAAACUCAAAGGAAUUGACGGGGGCCCGCACAAGCGGUGGAGCAUGUGGUUUAAUUCGAAGCAACGCGAAGAACCUUACCAGGUCUUGACAUCUAGUGCCAUUUGUAGAGAUACAAAGUUCC